rnacentral:rRNA from 1 species
GUACAUAAUUUUAAAUUUAUAUUCAUUUUUUAUUCUUAAUAAGAAAUUACAUUUAAGUCCUUCUUUACACACUUUUUCAAAGUGUCUUUUGCUACAGUAUUGUAACUCGCCUAAACUUCUUGAUAGUCUGCACCUUGAUCUGUAAUAUUUAGCGUUAACCUAAUCUUAACAAUAUAUUAUAUAUUAUCAGAUUACGACGGCAUACAAAAUAUUUCAUGAAGUGAAUUACCUUGGUGGUUAUCAAUUAUUUGGUAAGUUCCCCUAAAUGUUAAAAUUACCGUCAUGCUAUUUGAGUUUUAAUCAACAAGAUAUUAGUACUCAGUAUUUUUUAAUGGGUAUUGUAUAAAAGGGUAUCUAAUCCUUGUUUAUGGUCAAUAUUUUAUAUAUUUUAGUUUUUAAAAGAUUUUAAAUUAUAUUUCACCAAAAAUUUUUAUAUACAUAAACUUUAUAUACUCUAUACAUGGUUUAUUUCUAUUAAAGUCUGACCGCGACUGCUGGCACUUUAUAAGUCAUAGUAUGUAUAAUUGGUUUAUUCUUACUUUCAUAAAUUUAUAAAUUUUCUUUCCUGGUAAAACCUUUAUAGUUCCAUAAGUAUUCCUAUUAUUUAUAAACAGUUCACCAU